CAACACAUGGGAGUGUAACGCCUCCUCUUGUCACUCCAAAAAGAAUCAGUUGGAAUGUCAAGUCCUUUCAUCUUCAAACGUAAUGAUUCUUCCAAAUACGACUUUGUUAAGGUGAAAGUAUGGCUAGGUGAUAAUGAUGAUCAUUACUAUGUUCUCUCCAGAUUUUUGCUAACCAGAAUGUUAACAGUCACUAAGAUACCAAAUCAUGUGUCACUUAAAAUUGCUCUUGAUCUUAAAAAGCUUCUUGUCGACAACAGCCUUCUUGAUGUCUCACAAGCAGAUUUAGAGACAAACUUGUUUAAGCUUAUGAAACGGAGAGGUUUUGGAGACGAGUAUAUAAAACGUUAUAAUAUGAUGACAAGAUUUCACCAUCAGAGAGUUCCUCUUGUAAUUCUUGUUUGUGGUACUGCCUGUGUUGGGAAGUCUACUAUUGCUACCCAACUCGCACAACGCCUGAACUUGCCAAAUGUCUUGCAGACAGAAAUGGUUUAUGAAUUGCUGCGCACAUCAACAGAUGCACCUUUGAUGUCUUCUCCAGUAUGGACACGUGGCUUCAGCUCACCGGAGGAGCUAAUGACUGAAUUUUGCAGAGAAUGCAGAAUAAUAUGGAAAGGUUUGGCUGGUGAUUUGAGAAAAGCAACGAAAGAUGGCAAACCGAUUAUAAUUGAGGGCAUACAUUUAGAUCCUAGAAUAUUCAUGAUGGAAGAACAUAAAUUACUACCACCGCCCACUGUAGACUACGAAGAACUAAACUUUUCGAAGGUAAAAGACCACAAGGAAAUACAAAGAGAAAGUAAUCACAAUAUUGGACUUGGCAGUCAGAGUAACGGUAAAGAUCGAUAUCCUGAGAAUGUUAGUUCGGACGGAGCAUCUUCUGAGUCAGACCAGCUAGCAGAUUCUCUGAAAUCAAUGGAUAUUGUCGAGAAAAUUUCUGAAAAUACAGUUAAUGAUUCAGGAGCAGAUCAAAAUCCUGCUCACAGAAAACAAAGUUCGGGUGAUCUGCCAAUAUUUGUUCCGAUAGUUCUAAGGAUGGCGGACUUUGAUCAUAAGGCAUUUCUGGAGGAGCGGGUAGCUACUCGUACAUUCACGGAGAAGCAUCUUUCCCAGGUCAAAGACAAAGUGAUAACUAACUUGAUGACUAUUCAGGACUACCUGUGUUCCUUUACAUCACAGGGUUUGACUGUUGUUGACGUAUCAGCUGCAACAUUUCCACAGACACUGGAUUGGCUGCAUAAUUAUCUUCUUCAGUGUCUCGAGCAAGGUUUCUAGGGGAAAUCAUGAGCAAAAAUCCAGAGAGUUUACUACUAACCAUAUUCUUGAUGAAUAAGAUUUUGGAAAACGAUACUACGAGGAGAUUGAGCAACCUACCUCUGAACUGAAAUGUCGAGAGCCUCGAUGUGUCAUCUUGUGGAGGCUCGGAUUUACUUUUGAUAGAUAUAAAGUAUAAAGUUGUUGUAAGAUAAAAUCUUAAGUUUGCUCCAUGAACCCUAAGUAUAGUUGUAAGAUGUAAUGUAUCAUUGUCACUCAUGUUUUAGACCUGUAAAUCAGCAAACAACAACGCCAAGCAAACAAUUUUACCAUUGUACAAUUUUGGAAGAAGAGUUGAGAGGAAGAAGAGUUGAGAGGAAAAGAAUUUUAUUCAAACUGAUUUUUCAUACUGA